rnacentral:tRNA from 1 species
GGAGAGGUGUCCGAGCGGUUUAAGGAGCCGGUCUUGAAAACCGGUGAUGCAGCGAUGCACCGUGGGUUCGAAUCCCACCCUCUCCGCCA